AGUUUCUUGUUCCUCUUUAGUCUCUUCCUCGGCUGUGCUCUCAACCGUCGGACGCAUUUGGCUUCAGCGCCGACCUCCAGCGGCUGUACGGCGCCAUCGUUGCUCACAGAGGCGCACGAAAACGCAAAUGGCCUGAAGAGACCGGCGCCGAACAGAACCAGCCUUCAACAGAAGCAGCCGCCCAGACGUUAACUCCAGCAGAUACUCGAUCCGUAGGAGAGGGGCAAACGAUGAGCGACGGGAAUCAAACCUCCAGGGAGGAGGAUGAACCAAACGACAGGAGGAACAGCAGCAGCAGAGCGGCACAGACCAAGUCUGCACCCGUCACAGCCCGCCCUGCGGAGCGACCGGCCUCCAAACCAAAGAAGAAGAAGGUGGGGCUCUUCAGAUGACCCAAACAUCAGAGCGGCUUCCUGUUUUAAAGCUUUAACUGCGGCGGACUGUUUUAGACUCUGAGUUUUAAUGUUUUAGAUUCAAUUGUUGAAGUUUUAAAUCCAAACCCAUUCAGACUGUUUUAAACCUUCAGCUCUAUCAUAGAAUUUCUGUUAAAUAAACUUGGUUUUAAAC